UGCGGCUUCAGCCACUGCAGCUGUAGCAGCCGCGACGGCUAUCGCAUGCUUGUCGCCGUUUAAGACAUCUUCAUCCCCACGUCUCUUGCUUGAAUGAGAAGACGAAUCAUUCUCGGGAUGUGAGGAUCUAGUAGCGAAGCUCCAUCUUCGUCUGUUCGGUGUUGCCUUUUCUUGCUUCUUACUUCCGAACAGUCUUCCAAAGAAACCCAUACUUAGUUCAUUGUAUGAACUGAACUCUUGUCGGAAUUUUCUACGGUUGAGAUUUUUUUUGUUGUUCUUUUUGUUUUUGACAAGUACAAAAAGAAAAGAAGAGACAAUUGGGAAUGGAGAA